rnacentral:rRNA from 1 species
AACGAACGCUGGCGGCAUGCCUAACACAUGCAAGUCGAACGAGACCUUCGGGUCUAGUGGCGCACGGGUGCGUAACGCGUGGGAACCUGCCUUUAGGUUCGGAAUAACUCAGAGAAAUUUGAGCUAAUACCGGAUGAUGUCUUCGGACCAAAGAUUUAUCGCCUUUAGAUGGGCCCGCGUUGGAUUAGCUAGUUGGUGGGGUAAAGGCCUACCAAGGCGACGAUCCAUAGCUGGUCUGAGAGGAUGAUCAGCCACACUGGGACUGAGACACGGCCCAGACUCCUACGGGAAGCAGCAGUGGGGAAUAUUGGACAAUGGGCGAAAGCCUGAUCCAGCAAUGCCGCGUGAGUGAUGAAGGCCUUAGGGUUGUAAAGCUCUUUUAACCGAGAUGAUAAUGACAGUAUCGGGAGAAUAAGCUCCGGCUAACUCCGUG